GGAGCAGCCCUGCUCCCCUCAGCCCCUCUGAGCUGCUCAUCCCUACCUCCUCCUUUCAUCCCUGCUUCUGGAUUAAUCCCGUCACAGCCCAGGAAGGAGCUGGGAAAGGAAGAGGAUUUCUGCUUGAAAGGAAAAAGAAAGGAGAGGAGUUGUAAAAGCUGGGGAUGGAGGAGGGAAUAGAAACAUCCUUCUUUCAAGGAAAAGAUGCUGUGGCUGCUGUUCUGGGUACCAUAUGCCAGCUACAUCGUUGGAUUUAAGAGGCCUUGGAAAUACAAAGUAUGAUUACCCAGGACACAGCAAUUUAAAUUGAACAAGAAAUUAUCAAGAAAUACAGGUGCAUUUAAUAGAGGCUUCUGGAACAGUGUGCUGGGGCUUUGGUGAAUCGGUGGGCAUUGUUUGGGGAUUACAGGGUGGGGCUCUGUGGGCUGUGGGAGAGAAGACAUCAGAGGACACCAUCCCUCCUGGCCUUGGCUCAGCAAGCCUGUUCCUGCUCACCUUGGGAGACAUCCACGGGCAGACAGCGCCUCGGAAAUCCUGGAUGGAUUAUCUGGGUGUGCUCAGGGGCAAAGGGAAGCACCAAACCUUGUGGCACCCCUGGCUGGGGCAGGGCCGUGGCCACCCUGCCAGGGCACUGUCCCACUGGAGGGACUGGGGAAAAAACACACGUGAAAAAUGAAAAAAAAAAAUCUAUUAAAAAAAAAGAUACAGAACCCCAGGUUAAUCUUUUCCUUAAGAAAGGACCUUAAAGUUCCUUUAGUCCAACCCCCUGCCAUGGGCAGGACACCUUUCUCUAGCCCAGGUUGCUCCAAGCCCUGUCUAACCUAGCCUUGGACACUUCCAGGGAUUCUGUCUGGACACACAAGAGUUUUGGGUUUUGAUAGAUGUGGGUUUGUAGGAAUGAAUAUUUCCUCUGCCAAGAAAGUUUGUGAUCCUUGGGGUCUCUGCAGAAUGGAAUUCUGUGACCCCUCACAGUGCUGGCAAUCCCAGAGACCAGGUAACACACACAAUGGCCACAAGCAG